rnacentral:rRNA from 1 species
UACGAAGGGUGCAAGCGUUACUCGGAAUUACUGGGCGUAAAGCGUGCGUAGGUGGUUCGUUAAGUCUGAUGUGAAAGCCCUGGGCUCAACCUGGGAAUGGCAUUGGAAACUGGCGACCUAGAGUGCGGUAGAGGGUAGUGGAAUUCCCGGUGUAGCAGUGAAAUGCGCAGAUAUCGGGAGGAACACCAAUGGCGAAGGCAGCUCGCUGGGACGGUACUGACGCUGAGACGCGAAAGCGUGGGGAGCAAACAGG